AACGAACGCUGGCGGCAUGCCUAACACAUGCAAGUCGAACGAGAACUUCGGGUCUAGUGUCGCACGGGUGCGUACCGCGUGGGAACCUGCCUUUAGGUUCGGAAUCACUCAGAGAAAUUUGCGCUAAUACCGGAUGAUGUCUUCGGACCAAAGAUUUAUCGCCUUUAGAUGGGCCCGCGUUGGAUUAGCUAGUUGGUGGGGUAAAGGCCUACCAAGGCGACGAUCCAUAGCUGGUCUGAGAGGAUGAUCAGCCACACUGGGACUGAGACACGGCCCAGACUCCUACGGGAGGCAGCAGUGGGGAAUAUUGGACAAUGGGCGAAAGCCUGAUCCAGCAAUGCCGCGUGAGUGAUGAAGGCCUUAGGGUUGUAAAGCUCUUUUACCCGAGAUGAUAAUGACAGUAUCGGGAGAAUAAGCUCCGGCUAACUCCGUG
rnacentral:rRNA from 1 species